UGAUGUCUUCCUUCCAUGCGCUACGGAU
rnacentral:sRNA from 1 species